AGACCCGAAACCCGGUGAUCUAGCCAUGGGCAGGUUGAAGGUUGGGUAACACUAACUGGAGGACCGAACCGACUAAUGUUGAAAAAUUAGCGGAUGACCUGUGGCUGGGGGUGAAAGGCCAAUCAAACCGGGAGAUAGCUGGUUCUCCCCGAAAGCUAUUUAGGUAGCGCCUCGUGAAUUCAUCUCCGGGGGUAGAGCACUGUUUCGGCUAGGGGGCCAUCCCGGCUUACCAACCCGAUGCAAACUGCGAAUACCGGAGAAUGUUAUCACGGGAGACACACGGCGGGUGCUAACGUCCGUCGUGAAGAGGGAAACAACCCAGACCGCCAGCUAAGGUCCCAAAGUCAUGGUUAAGUGGGAAACGAUGUGGGAAGGCCCAGACAGCCAGGAUGUUGGCUUAGAAGCAGCCAUCAUUUAAAGAAAGCGUAAUAGCUCACUGGUCGAGUCGGCCUGCGCGGAAGAUGUAACGGGGCUAAACCAUGCACCGAAGCUGCGGCAGCGACACUGUGUGUUGUUGGGUAGGGGAGCGUUCUGUAAGCCUGCGAAGGUGGCCUGUGAGGGUUGCUGGAGGUAUCAGAAGUGCGAAUGCUGACAUAAGUAACGAUAAAGCGGGUGAAAAGCCCGCUCGCCGGAAGACCAAGGGUUCCUGUCCAACGUUAAUCGGGGCAGGGUGAGUCGACCCCUAAGGCGAGGCCGAAAGGCGUAGUCGAUGGGAAACGGGUUAAUAUUCCCGUACUUGGUGUUACUGCGAAGGGGGGACGGAGAAGGCUAUGUUGGCCGGGCGACGGUUGUCCCGGUUUAAGCGUGUAGGUGUGUGUUCCAGGUAAAUCCGGUUCACUUUAACACUGAGGCGUGACGACGAGGCACUACGGUGCUGAAGCAACAAAUGCCCUGCUUCCAGGAAAAGCCUCUAAGCAUCAGGUAACAUCAAAUCGUACCCCAAACCGACACAGGUGGUCAGGUAGAGAAUACCAAGGCGCUUGAGAGAACUCGGGUGAAGGAACUAGGCAAAAUGGUGCCGUAACUUCGGGAGAAGGCACGCUGACACGUAGGUGAAGUGAUUUACUCAUGGAGCUGAAGUCAGUCGAAGAUACCAGCUGGCUGCAACUGUUUAUUAAAAACACAGCACUGUGCAAACACGAAAGUGGACGUAUACGGUGUGACGCCUGCCCGGUGCCGGAAGGUUAAUUGAUGGGGUCAGCGCAAGCGAAGCUCCUGAUCGAAGCCCCGGUAAACGGCGGCCGUAACUAUAACGGUCCUAAGGUAGCGAAAUUCCUUGUCGGGUAAGUUCCGACCUGCACGAAUGGCGUAAUGAUGGCCAGGCUGUCUCCACCCGAGACUCAGUGAAAUUGAACUCGCUGUGAAGAUGCAGUGUACCCGCGGCAAGACGGAAAGACCCCGUGAACCUUUACUAUAGCUUGACACUGAACAUUGAGCCUUGAUGUGUAGGAUAGGUGGGAGGCUUUGAAGUGUGGACGCCAGUCUGCAUGGAGCCGACCUUGAAAUACCACCCUUUAAUGUUUGAUGUUCUAACGUGGACCCGUUACCCGGGUUGCGGACAGUGUCUGGUGGGUAGUUUGACUGGGGCGGUCUCCUCCUAAAGAGUAACGGAGGAGCACGAAGGUUGGCUAAUCCUGGUCGGACAUCAGGAGGUUAGUGCAAUGGCAUAAGCCAGCUUGACUGCGAGCGUGACGGCGCGAGCAGGUGCGAAAGCAGGUCAUAGUGAUCCGGUGGUUCUGAAUGGAAGGGCCAUCGCUCAACGGAUAAAAGGUACUCCGGGGAUAACAGGCUGAUACCGCCCAAGAGUUCAUAUCGACGGCGGUGUUUGGCACCUCGAUGUCGGCUCAUCACAUCCUGGGGCUGAAGUAGGUCCCAAGGGUAUGGCUGUUCGCCAUUUAAAGUGGUACGCGAGCUGGGUUUAGAACGUCGUGAGACAGUUCGGUCCCUAUCUGCCGUGGGCGCUGGAGAACUGAGGGGGGCUGCUCCUAGUACGAGAGGACCGGAGUGGACGCAUCACUGGUGUUCGGGUUGUCAUGCCAAUGGCACUGCCCGGUAGCUAAAUGCGGAAGAGAUAAGUGCUGAAAGCAUCUAAGCACGAAACUUGCCCCGAGAUGAGUUCUCCCUGAGACUUUAGGUCUCCUGAAGGAACGUUGAAGACGACGACGUUGAUAGGCCGGGUGUGUAAGCGCAGCGAUGCGUUGAGCUAACCGGUACUAAUGAACCGUGAGGCUUAACCUUACAACGCCGAAG
rnacentral:rRNA from 1 species